rnacentral:rRNA from 1 species
AGCGAACGCUGGCGGCAGGCCUAACACAUGCAAGUCGAACGAACCUUUCGGGGUUAGUGGCGGACGGGUGAGUAACACGUGGGAACGUGCCUUUAGGUUCGGAAUAACUCAGGGAAACUUGUGCUAAUACCGAAUGUGCCCUUCGGGGGAAAGAUUAAUCGCCUUUAGAGCGGCCCGCGUCUGAUUAGCUAGUUGGUUGAGGUAAUGGCCCACCAAGGAGACGAUCAGUAGCUGUUCUGAGAGGAUGAUCAGCCACAUUGGGACUGAGACACGGCCCAAACUCCUACGGGAGGCAGCAGUGGGGAAUCUUGCGCAAUGGGCGAAAGCCUGACGCAGCCAUGCCGCGUGAAUGAUGAAGGUCUUAGGAUUGUAAAAUUCUUUCACCGGGGACGAUAAUGACGGUACCCGGAGAAGAAGCCCCGGCUAACUUCGUG